UACGUAGGGGGCAAGCGUUGUCCGGAUUUAUUGGGCGUAAAGAGCGUGUAGGCGGCCGGACAGGUCAGCUGUGAAAACUCGAGGCUCAACCUCGAGACGUCGGUUGAAACCGUCUGGCUAGAGUCCGGAAGAGGAGAGUGGAAUUCCCGGUGUAGCGGUGAAAUGCGCAGAUAUCGGGAAGAACACCCGUGGCGAAGGCGGCUCUCUGGGCCGUAACUGACGCUGAGGAGCGAAAGCGUGGGGAGCGAACAGG
rnacentral:rRNA from 1 species